rnacentral:rRNA from 1 species
AACGAACGCUGGCGGCAGGCUUAACACAUGCAAGUCGAACGCCCCGCAAGGGGAGUGGCAGACGGGUGAGUAACGCGUGGGAAUCUACCCAGAUCUUCGGAACAACUGAGGGAAACUUCAGCUAAUACCGGAUACGCCCUACGGGGGAAAGAUUUAUCGGUUCAGGAUGAGCCCGCGUUGGAUUAGCUAGUUGGUGAGGUAAAGGCUCACCAAGGCGACGAUCCAUAGCUGGUCUGAGAGGAUGAUCAGCCACACUGGGACUGAGACACGGCCCAGACUCCUACGGGAGGCAGCAGUGGGGAAUAUUGGACAAUGGGCGAAAGCCUGAUCCAGCCAUGCCGCGUGAGUGAUGAAGGCCUUAGGGUUGUAAAGCUCUUUCAGUAGGGAAGAUAAUGACGGUACCUACAGAAGAAGCCCCGGCUAACUUCGUGCCAGCCGCCGCUGUAAGAC